rnacentral:tRNA from 1 species
UGCCGGAUCGUCUAACGGUAGGACAGCGGUUUUUGGUGCCGUCAGUCUAGGUUCGAAUCCUAGUCCGGCAGCCA